AUUGAACGCUGGCGGCAGGCCUAACACAUGCAAGUCGAGCGGUUGACGGGAGCUUGCUCCCUGAUUCAGCGGCGGACGGGUGAGUAAUGCCUAGGAAUCUGCCUAUUAGUGGGGGACAACGUUUCGAAAGGGACGCUAAUACCGCAUACGUCCUACGGGAGAAAGCAGGGGACCUUCGGGCCUUGCGCUAAUAGAUGAGCCUAGGUCGGAUUAGCUUGUUGGUGAGGUAAUGGCUCACCAAGGCGACGAUCCGUAACUGGUCUGAGAGGAUGAUCAGUCACACUGGAACUGAGACACGGUCCAGACUCCUACGGGAGGCAGCAGUGGGGAAUAUUGGACAAUGGGCGAAAGCCUGGUCCAGCCAUGCCGCGUGUGUGAAGAAGGUCUUCGGAUUGUAAAGCACUUUAAGUUGGGAGGAAGGGUUGUAGAUUAAUACUCUGCAAUUUUGACGUUACCGACAGAAUAAGCACCGGCUAACUCUGUGCCAGCAGCCGCGGUAAUAC
rnacentral:rRNA from 1 species